rnacentral:rRNA from 1 species
CCUACGGGAGGCAGCAGUGGGGAAUAUUGGACAAUGGACCAAAAGUCUGAUCCAGCAAUUCUGUGUGCACGAUGACGUUUUUCGGAAUGUAAAGUGCUUUCAGUUGGGAAGAAAAAAAUGACGGUACCAACAGAAGAAGUGACGGCUAAAUACGUGCCAGCAGCCGCGGUAAUACGUAUGUCACAAGCGUUAUCCGGAUUUAUUGGGCGUAAAGCGCGUCUAGGUGGUUAUGUAAGUCUGAUGUGAAAAUGCAGGGCUCAACUCUGUAUUGCGUUGGAAACUGCAUGACUAGAGUACUGGAGAGGUAAGCGGAACUACAAGUGUAGAGGUGAAAUUCGUAGAUAUUUGUAGGAAUGCCGAUGGGGAAGCCAGCUUACUGGACAGAUACUGACGCUAAAGCGCGAAAGCGUGGGUAGCAAACAGGAUUAGAUACCCGAGUAGUC